rnacentral:rRNA from 1 species
UGACAGCCGCCGCGGUAAUACGGAUGGUGCACGCGUGGUUCGGAAUUAUUGGGCGUAAAGCGUGCGUAGGCGGACUGUUAAGUCUGAUGUGAAAUCCCGCGGCUCAACCGCGGACGUGCAUUGGAUACUGGCAGUCUUGAGUCCUGGAGAGGAGAGCGGAAUUCCUAGUGUAGAGGUGAAAUUCGUAGAUAUUAGGAGGAACACCAGUGGCGAAAGCGGCUCUCUGGACCGUGAUCGACGCUGAGGAGCGAAAGCUAGGGGAGCAAACAGGAUUAGAUA